CCUACGGGCGGCUGCAGUGGGGAAUAUUGCACAAUGGGCGCAAGCCUGAUGCAGCCAUGCCGCGUGUGUGAAGAAGGCCUUCGGGUUGUAAAGCACUUUCAGCGGGGAGGAAGGCGUUAAGGUUAAUAACCUUGGCGAUUGACGUUACCCGCAGAAGAAGCACCGGCUAACUCCGUGCCAGCAGCCGCGGUAAUACGGAGGGUGCAAGCGUUAAUCGGAAUUACUGGGCGUAAAGCGCACGCAGGCGGUCUGUCAAGUCGGAUGUGAAAUCCCCGGGCUCAACCUGGGAACUGCAUUCGAAACUGGCAGGCUAGAGUCUUGUAGAGGGGGGUAGAAUUCCAGGUGUAGCGGUGAAAUGCGUAGAGAGCUGGAGGAAUACCGGUGGCGAAGGCGGCCCCCUGGACAAAGACUGACGCGCAGGUGCGAAAGCGUGGGGAGCAAACAGGAUUAGAUACCCCAGUAGUC
rnacentral:rRNA from 1 species